GAUGAACGCUAGCUACAGGCUUAACACAUGCAAGUCGAGGGGCAGCAUGGUCUUAGCUUGCUAAGGCCGAUGGCGACCGGCGCACGGGUGAGUAACACGUAUCCAACCUGCCGUCUACUCUUGGACAGCCUUCCGAAAGGAAGAUUAAUACAAGAUGGCAUCAUGAGUCCGCAUGUUCACAUGAUUAAAGGUAUUCCGGUAGACGAUGGGGAUGCGUUCCAUUAGAUAGUAGGCGGGGUAACGGCCCACCUAGUCUUCGAUGGAUAGGGGUUCUGAGAGGAAGGUCCCCCACAUUGGAACUGAGACACGGUCCAAACUCCUACGGGAGGCAGCAGUGAGGAAUAUUGGUCAAUGGGCGAGAGCCUGAACCAGCCAAGUAGCGUGAAGGAUGACUGCCCUAUGGGUUGUAAACUUCUUUUAUAAAGGAAUAAAGUCGGGUAUGCAUACCCGUUUGCAUGUACUUUAUGAAUAAGGAUCGGCUAACUCCGUGCCAGCAGCCGCGGUAAUACGGAGGAUCCGAGCGUUAUCCGGAUUUAUUGGGUUUAAAGGGAGCGUAGAUGGAUGUUUAAGUCAGUUGUGAAAGUUUGCGGCUCAACCGUAAAAUUGCAGUUGAUACUGGAUAUCUUGAGUGCAGUUGAGGCAGGCGGAAUUCGUGGUGUAGCGGUGAAAUGCUUAGAUAUCACGAAGAACUCCGAUUGCGAAGGCAGCCUGCUAAGCUGCAACUGACAUUGAGGCUCGAAAGUGUGGGUAUCAAACAGGAUUAGAUACCCUGGUAGUCCACACGGUAAACGAUGAAUACUCGCUGUUUGCGAUAUACAGCAAGCGGCCAAGCGAAAGCGUUAAGUAUUCCACCUGGGGAGUACGCCGGCAACGGUGAAACUCAAAGGAAUUGACGGGGGCCCGCACAAGCGGAGGAACAUGUGGUUUAAUUCGAUGAUACGCGAGGAACCUUACCCGGGCUUAAAUUGCAGAUGAAUUACGGUGAAAGCCGUAAGCCGCAAGGCAUCUGUGAAGGUGCUGCAUGGUUGUCGUCAGCUCGUGCCGUGAGGUGUCGGCUUAAGUGCCAUAACGAGCGCAACCCUUGUUGUCAGUUACUAACAGGUUCCGCUGAGGACUCUGACAAGACUGCCAUCGUAAGAUGUGAGGAAGGUGGGGAUGACGUCAAAUCAGCACGGCCCUUACGUCCGGGGCUACACACGUGUUACAAUGGGGGGUACAGAGGGCCGCUACCACGCGAGUGGAUGCCAAUCCCCAAAACCUCUCUCAGUUCGGACUGGAGUCUGCAACCCGACUCCACGAAGCUGGAUUCGCUAGUAAUCGCGCAUCAGCCACGGCGCGGUGAAUACGUUCCCGGGCCU
rnacentral:rRNA from 1 species